rnacentral:tmRNA from 1 species
GGGGCCGACUUGGCUUCGACGUGGGUGCGGAGUUGGAACAGGGCAUGCCGAGGGCCAGGCACCUCGUAAAUCCAUCUGGAUCAAAGUAACUGCGAACGACUCUUCGUACGCCCUCGCCGCUUAAUACCGGUGAGCUUCGCAACGGUUGGCCGAUGGGCCGGGUCUGAGGGGCAACCCAAGGACUGCGAAGUCAUACACAUUGGCUCGCUCUGAGCUGGGUCACUCAGUCCAGGGCUAAAUCAAGUGACUCGGGGUGAACGCAGCGUGCUCCUGCGCGGCGGCCACUCUUAAAACCAAAUCAGAGAGCUACGCAUGUAGAACUGCCUGAUGAUGGCUUGCGGACGGGGGUUCGAUUCCCCCCGGCUCCACCA